AGACCAGGAAAGUGAAAGGAAAUGGAUAUCGCUGCUGGAGGCAACGACUAAUUUAAGCAGAGUAGGAGAAAAACUCUUUUUUUUUUUCCUUUGUGCCAGUUCCUUUUACACGACUUCAGAACAUUCUAUGACAACCCAGCGUGCAACUUGGCACUGUCAGAAGAGUCCUGGGAAAGAAAGGAAAUGCGGUUCCAACUCUAUGGGUAUAUCUCAGUCAUUUAGCAUCUGCUCUAUCUUUGAGGCUGAGUUUCCAGAAGACCUGAUUCAACCAGAAGCAAAAGACAGUAGCCAAGAAGAUGGCAUAGCAUAAGAAUCUUGGAAAUUGAUAAAAACAUCCCAGAGAUAUCCAACAAAAUUAGUAACUAUGUGAAGAGAUUCUGUAAUAUUGGGUCUAUUGGGCUCUGUGGGAAGGUAUUCCCUUUGGAAAUGACUGAAAUGGAAAUUUUGAACCACUUUCAAUGAUACAAGUUUGGGGUUAACAUGGAGAUGGUGCUUCACAGAAGACACCACAUUUCAAUAAUUGUAUUCUUAUCGAAUUGUUUAAAAUUGGUCAGUGACUAAUAUUAAGCCUCUAAGAACAAAAUUCAUUAGGUUUAUUUAGCCUGUUUUUGCAUUACUGCUACAAAAUCCAAUAGUUUAAAUAGCUAACUGAAUACUUUUGAUGUUAAAGAGCAAAAUUUCAUGAAGAUUUUAGAUCAAGAGAGCUACCACUGAGAAAAAACAAUGCAGAUUUGUGGUAAAGUCCCAUGAAUUUGUUGAACUGCCAAGGCUUCUGAUCAUCACUGCUGAAGAACUUCUAAUGGUGACUUCCAUCUCAGCUUUCUCAUUGCCAACUAUUAAGAAUGUAUGGAUUAUCCAGAUGUUGCAACACAGUUGUGUUUUUGGCUUCACCACUCCCUCUGGGCUGUGAUUCUGUUUUUUUUUUCUUUUAUUGUUGAUGUUCUUUGUUUUUAAUAUGAGAAAGAUUUGUGUAUUAUACUUCAGUUUUAGUUUCCUUAAUCACAGACUAGACAAAAGAAAAUUGGCUUGGUUUCCUAUUAGGAAACCACUUAGAAGCCAUUAUCAGAAUCGUAGACCAUCACUGUGAACUAUAUCCAGGUGUUGUCAUGAAAGUAUGACAUCCUAGAGUGGAAAAGCAACCUGGGUUUCCGAGACUGUUUUACUCUUUUAUCUGGAAUGUUGUUUUAGCUGCUAUGGCUCCAACAGGGUGAAC
rnacentral:lncRNA from 10 species